rnacentral:rRNA from 1 species
GUGAGGUAACGGCUCACCAAGGCAUCGACGGGUAGCUGGUCUGAGAGGAUGAUCAGCCACACUGGGACUGAGACACGGCCCAGACUCCUACGGGAGGCAGCAGUGGGGAAUAUUGCACAAUGGGCGCAAGCCUGAUGCAGCGAUGCCGCGUGCGGGAUGAAGGCCCUAGGGUUGUAAACCGCUUUCAGCAGGGAAGAAAAUGACGGUACCUGCAGAAGAAGGUGCGGCCAACUACGUGCCAGCAGCCGCGGUGACACGUAGGCACCAAGCGUUGUCCGGAUUUAUUGGGCGUAAAGAGCUCGUAGGCGGUUCAGUUAGUCGGGUGUGAAAACUCUGGGCUCAACCCAGAGACGCCACCCGAUACUGCUGUGACUAGAGUACGGUAGGGGAGUGGGGAAUUCCUGGUGUAGCGGUGAAAUGCGCAGAUAUCAGGAGGAACACCAGUGGCGAAGGCGCCACUCUGGGCCGUAACUGACGCUGAGGAGCGAAAGCAUGGGUAGCAAACAGGAUUAGAUACCCUGGUAGUCCAUGCCGUAAACGUUGGGCACUAGGUGUGGGUCUCAACCAACGAGAUCCGCGCCGUCGCUAACGCAUUAAGUG